rnacentral:misc_RNA from 1 species
CCAGCACGCCCUACCAGGUCGACCAAGCACUCAGGCCAGUUCUUCGGGACUGGCCUUUUUGUUUUUCGCC